GAUGAACGCUAGCGGCAGGCUUAACACAUGCAAGUCGAGGGGUAUAGGUUUUCGGACCUAGAGACCGGCGCACGGGUGCGUAACGCGUAUGCAAUCUACCUUGUACAGGGGGAUAGCCCAGAGAAAUUUGGAUUAAUACCCCAUAGUAUUAUAGAAUGGCACCAUUUUAUAAUUAAAGUUCCAACGGUACAAGAUGAGCAUGCGUCCCAUUAGCUAGUUGGUAUGGUAACGGCAUACCAAGGCUACGAUGGGUAGGGGUCCUGAGAGGGAGAUCCCCCACACUGGUACUGAGACACGGACCAGACUCCUACGGGAGGCAGCAGUGAGGAAUAUUGGUCAAUGGACGCAAGUCUGAACCAGCCAUGCCGCGUGCAGGAUGACGGUCCUAUGGAUUGUAAACUGCUUUUGUACGGGAAGAAACACUCCUACGUGUAGGAACUUGACGGUACUGUAAGAAUAAGGAUCGGCUAACUCCGUGCCAGCAGCCGCCGUAA
rnacentral:rRNA from 1 species